GACGAACGCUGGCGGCGUGCUUAACACAUGCAAGUCGAACGGAAAGGCCCUGCUUUUGUGUGGUGCUCGAGUGGCGAACGGGUGAGUAACACGUGAGUAACCUGCCCUUGACUUUGGGAUAACUUCAGGAAACUGGGGCUAAUACCGGAUAGGAUCUCCUGCUCCAUGGUGGGGGUUGGAAAGUUUCGGCGUUUGGGGCUGGACUCGCGGCUUAUCAGCUUGUUGGUGGGGUAGGGGCUUACAAAGGCUUUGACGGGUAGCCGGCCUGAGAGGGUGACCGGCCACAUUGGGACUGAGAGACGGCCCAGACUCCUACGGGCGGCAGCAGUGGGGAAUAUUGCACAAUGGGCGGAAGCCUGAUGCAGCAACCCCGCGUGCGGGAUGACGGCCUUCUGGUUGUAAACCGCUUUCGCCUGUGACGAAGCGUGAGUGACGGUAAUGGGUAAAGAAGCACCGGCUAACUACGUG
rnacentral:rRNA from 1 species